rnacentral:rRNA from 1 species
AUGAAUUUUAAGAAACUUAGAAAAAUAGAAGAAAGGUAGUAGUCUUAUCUUCGGGUAUUACUAUGUUAUAAUCUUUUAUUGAAUGAGUUACUUAAGAUUGAGGAAUUAAUGUACUCCUCUAUGGAUUGUGAUAUUAAGUUCAUGGAAGGGAUAAGGUAGCAGACUGUAACAGUGUGAUAUUUUAUUCAAUUCAUUAUAUUUAAUAGCAAAAAGUACAUUUAGAGAUGUUGAUCUUUUUUAUAAAAGAAGAAGGAUUUAAUCGACCCGUCUUGUAACACGGACCAAGGAGUCUAACAUGUAUGCGAGUAAACUGAGUUUUAAAACUCAUCAUGCAAAAUGAAAAGUAAAAUUAAUGGUAGGAAUAGUCUCACAAGGGGUUAUGCACUAUCAACCGACUUGGAUGGGGGCAACUCCUGAAAGGAUUGAGUAAGAGCAUUAUG